CGCUGUGGAGAGAGAAAAAAAACCACUGGAAUUAGACCCAUGCUUUCAGGAAUACUGUUGGUUAACCUAAUGGAAUUUUCCAGGAUACACUGUUUAUGGCUUGAAAGGAAUCUUUAUGUCAAACCAUUCUUUCAUCUUCUUUUGGAAACCUGUAAUUCAUCCUGUGACAUCAGUUCACAUAAACAAACUCCAGUCAUCAUGGAUAGGUUUGUCAUUUUGAUAUCACUGCCACAGUGACAGAAGAUGUUCACCUCGAGAAAAAACCCCCAUUGACAAGGCUGCCUGGCUGUUCCUCUCCUCUUCAAUGCAGGAUACACUGGUUAACACAGAAUUAGUUGUGUGCCAGACUUAUGUAGAAUCAGCCAUCCCCUCGGAUCAGCCGUGAGCUAGGACCAGCACUAGCACAAGGAAAGCAACUGGAGCAGCAGGUGGCCAAGAGGAUUGUGACCUAGAAUCUCAACAGCAAAGACCAAGGGGCUGUGUGGCCAUGUUUGCUGGGGAAACGUGGGCAGAUGAAAAGUCCUGAGGAACUGAAGAGUUUAAGGACUGUCACACUGGGAAGCUGAUGAUUCACAUACCUCUCCUCCUCCAAACGCCUGUUCCGUGGUAUGUCCUCUUGCCUGCGAGCCAAACUGCACAAACUUGAAGGACAAGACUAUUAGUCACAUAACAGUUACAGACAUAUAAAUGCCAGUGACAGUCUUGCAGUCACUUCUAUUUGACCAGAAAAGGUGUUGUCUAAGCAUGUUUCAGAAGCCAGCGGCAUUCUUAAGAGCACCAUAUAUGGUUUGUGCAGCUUACUUCGCUCCCUGGAAAGCAGCAAUGCAGCCCUGGUUCAAAACCACUACUUCUGUUAUAGCUUAACCAACAUUUUAGAUAUCUCUGCUUCAGGCUGUCCCUUAGGUUCCAAACCGUAGAGUUCUCACAGCAUUUUUCAAGAAGGUUAAGUCUGUAGGGUACCUCUUGCAUCAUUCUGGAUUUACAUUUGAAGUAUGACCCUUAGGCAAUACAUAAUAGCAAAGCAUCCCUAAAAAUUCGUCUGGCUUUUCCACAAAAUGCAAAAGCAUAGGCAUUAGCAUGUCAAUUCCUAAAUGCACUGCCCUCUACAGCACACUGUGUGUUUGUGAAAUAAACACAUCAUUUACUCCUCCAUAUAAAUAUAUUUCUUUAACAGAAAAUCCUAACACCAAAGCAGUGGAAAGGCAACUACUUUAGAUGAAUUUACAUUUAACGUGAAAGGACCGCUCCAGUGGAUGCUGUUACAAUCUGUCUUCUAUUAAAUUCAGGGUAAAACACGAACCUAAUCAAGAACUAGAAGAUAUAAUCUCUUCAGUGUGCUAAAUUUCCAGCUUCAGUGGACAAUUGCAAACUGACUGGUCAUCAGUUUACUGUGAUCGUAUCAGCCCAGACUGAAAAAAUUGCAAGUGACUUGUCCUUGGGACAAAUUUUGCACAAUGUCAUUUCAGUGUCCCCACCCACUCAUUUUGCAGAAAAGAUUUCAGUAGCUGCAGGGCAGACUACCCUUCCUUCAGCGAGGGAAGUAGGUCAGACUGAACUCCUUGAAUGCUCUGCCUAAGGAAAAGAUAUCUUGAACCACAAUGUUCCCUGAGGCUGCUCACAUAGACACUGGGGUCAGGCACAACUUCCCCGGCUUGCACUUCAUUAUGAUUUUUCUACUAUUCAAAGGCUGCAAAAUCUUAAGGUUUGUUUUUGCAAACUUACUGACGGGAAGAUGACAAAUUCCAAGUGGCAGCCAUUAGUUUUUGAUGUACAAAGUAAACUUGUUUUUUUAAAAUCCAGAAGAAAUAACUAAAUUUAACUGGUAAUAUGAUUCUUAAAGGAUCCAAUUAGAAACAUUUACAGAUUUGGAUACUGAAUUACAGUGGCCCAUAUUCUAAAGAAAUUAAGUUCUUAACAUAAAAGUGCCUGGUAAACAAGAGGUACUGAAGAUUAAAACCUGAUCUGUAGUAAUAAGAAAAGACAGGUUGGCCUUCUGACAAUAAAGUACAAUUCAAAAGAAAGGCCAUCAAAUGUAGCCCCUGGACCUCAGCUACUCUGCUAAAAAACUCAGGGUUAAAAAUAAAACCAUUAAUUCUACUUUUAGAGUAGAAAGCAACCUACACAUUUUCAUUGCCUGUUUUGGAACUAUCUAAUAAGAAUGGUGGAAGUUAAAUCCUUAAGUAUAGCUGAUGAGAGCUGAAGGACAAACACCCUCAGUUUGUAAUGCUUCCAACUAUGCUUCCUCUGGCUGUUCCUCUGCGUUUUAUUUGAUCAAUUGAUUUAACUUUGCUAAGGAACUGUUCUUGGCUCCAGUUUUGCCAAGAGUAGCAAAUUUGUACUCUAUCUUCUCUCUAAGGCUAUUUAUACAAUGUGACAAUGCACAUCUGCAUCACUUAUCAUAAGGUCACCAGGUAGGACUCAAUUUUCAAUUGCUGGGAUUCUAAGGGUGCAUAGAAGCAAGGAAUUCAAAGAGAUAAGGAAUAGGUUUUUCAGCUUCAAAUACCAAUUCUACUUCUAAGUUAUCCAUUUAUAGUCAACUGCUUCCCCCUGCAGUCUUGGGAAGCUAUUGCUGUAUCAUGCAUUCAAGGACUUGAAUUUCAAUUCAAAGAUGUAGUUACUUCAAAAAACAAACCUCUUUUUUUAAAAUCUUGCUAGAGUUGUCAC